AUGACCCACAGAGGAACUUAGGGUCUUCAAACUAAAACAUCUUGGAGGUCCCCAGGCCACAGAGAGGUUAGGCUGGCCUCAACCAGAGCCAGGGCUUUUUCGGCUGUGGCUCCGAUCUGGUGGAACGCUCUGCCACAAGAGACUAGGGCCCCGCAGGACUUGACAUCUUUCCGCAGGGCCUGCAAGACAGAGCUGUUCCACCCUCCUUUGGCAAUCCUCACAGAACUCUAGCCCAAUGGUUGCCAUUAAUUUGAUUUGAAUUAAUUUUAUAAUGAAAUGAUUUUAGAAUGUUGUAUUAUUUUAUUGUUGUUAGCCACCCUGAGCCUGGCUUCGGCUGGGGAGGGCGGGAUAUACAGUGGCGCCCCGCAAGACGAAUGCCUCACAAAACGAAAAACUCGCUAGACGAAAGGGUUUUUCGGUUUUUGCGUUGCUUCGCUAGACAAAUUUCCCUAUGGGCUUGCUUCGCAAGACAAAAACGUCUUGCGAGUUUGUUCGCUUUUUUCUUAAAGCCGCUUGAAGAGGCGCAUUUGCGACGGACCGUGCUUCGCAAGACGAAAAACAUCACAAGACGAAAAGACUCGCGGAACGAAUUAAUUUCGAAUUAUUUAUUUAUUAUUAUGUACCACAUGUGGGGGGGAAACGGAGAGAGAAGGUUCAAAACAGCUCAAUGAGGACUAGCGUGAUGGGUUAGCAUGCUCAGUAGGCACAGAAUGCUGACAGAUGUGGGGAGCAGUGGGGAAUAGAAGGAAGGGAGCAGUGGGGAAUAGAAGGAAGGGAGGACUUCCGGGGUGGUGCCUCCGGAAAAUGGCGGAAUUCCCUUCGGACUGAAGGGAACCCGCUGCACGGAGGCUUGGGUCCUGCCGCUACGGCGCAGCGGGGACCCUCAAAAACCACAGGCGGAAGAAGCCUGUGGACGUGGGACUCGGCGGGCACCGAGAGCGCUCUCUCCCUUUGUACAGGAGCCCGGUAACGGGCUCCGGAGUGGGAGGUGCGUGGUGCUGUGAGUCGUCUGCUUCCUCCGUGCAGCAAAGCCGCACUGCCGUUAUCGGAGAGCGCUGCCUUUUUCCUGGACAAUUUGGCAUCUAAAAUAUCUAUCCGUGAGUACCUGAUCUUGGAAGAGUUGAACCACUUUUAAGACUGGUGAAUAAACAAAUAAUAUUGGACUUGAAAUUGAACUUAAUUGGGACUCGGAAUGGGAAGGUCUAAACAGGAAGUCGCCUUCCGUUCUUUUGUUAUGUGAAGAAAGCAAAGACAAAAUAUACUAAAGCUUGAAAAUUAAAUUCUAAGAGAACUAGAAUUCAACAUCUAAGAUUUCUGAACCCCCUUUGACUGCAGGAGAAGAAGGGGGUUGUAUUUGGACUUUUCAAUCCUGCGGAAGUGAGUUUAAAAUAAAGCAAUUUUCCACCGCCCUGAACCAGGAGCGGGCUGUCAGAAUUGACGUUCUGAAGUUUAUCCAGCUCGACAGUUAGUUAAAAGAAGGGUAAUAUUUUGAUUCUACUGUUGCCUCUUGAAUUUGGAAGGGGGAAUUUUGGAUAAAGUGUUUCUGGAAAAAGAAAGAUUGUUGCUGUUGCUUUUAUUCCUUUAAAAAAAAAAAAAAAUUCCAUCUAGUGGAAUUUAAUGAAAUUGCAACGCAGAGAGAUUAAAAGAGAAGGACUAUUGGACUAUUCUCGUGGGAAAGAAUUUUCUUUGACCUUCAAGGUCAAUGCUAGUACAAAGGCUUGAACAAUUGUUCCUGGAAGGUUUUUCAAAACUAAGUGCCCAGCUGGACCAGAUGCGUCAGGAGACGACCUUGAUGAUGGAAGUUACCAGAGCACAGCAGCAAACAAAUGAAAUUCAGUUAAAGGCCAUACAAGCAUAUGAACCUGCUGUAGUGACGGAGGCUUCAGAGAUGGAGGGACCUUUGGACGGGCAAGAUCAGCCUUUGAACUUGAUAAAUGAACUUGGGACAAACCAGAUUCGGAAAGAUGAAAUGUGGUUAGAUUUGGAAAUGGGGGGAUGGAUCGACCCCCUCCAUAUGGUUAUUUGGACCUUCCGAGUCUGGUGAUGGGCUAUCAGAGGAUUGGAGUAGCCGAAGUCUCCAAGCUUUGUGGAAAUUUGAAGUGGUAUUAUUUGCUGUCUGGCUUGGGCAAUGGGUUUGGGAUGGACUUGCUGCAAAGGGUCAAAAGCAUUUUCUUGCUGGAGCAUCCACGACUGGAAAGGAAUCAUCAACAAGAGUGGCGAAAGGGGCAAGAAAGAGACUUGAGGGCCUCGGAUACGAGACAACCAGGUUAAGGAGCCGGAUUAUCGAGGUUAAAAGGACUGACAAUCCCGGGUCCAGGGGAGGGGAGGUUGGAAGCUGACUGGACUGAAUUUGACUUAUUACUUCUUCUUUUUUAUUUUCUACUAUUGGGAAUGCUUACAAAUGUUUGAAGGAUGUUGAAUGAAAUUACAUGGCUUAAGUAAGGAUUGGUAAAUGAUUCGUAAAAAGGUAAUGAUGCAAGAAUUUGGUAAAUAUUGAAUAUAAGCUAUGAGUUUUAAAGUUUUUAUAUGACAAGAGGGAAAAUAGAAUAAGGAAACGUAAUGACAGAUUGUUAUGAAAAAACAGAAAGGAUUUGCUGUAAAAAUUAAAAAUUAAGAAACAAAAGAGGGGAGGAGGAGGAAGUCUAGAAAGGAAGUCAAUAGAGAUUGUAAAGGACUUUAUAUUUUUGUUUUUCUGUUUCUCUUUUUUUUCUUUGCGGCUGGGUUUUCUUUUCUUUUUUGUUUAUGUACUAUCUUUGUUUUUUGUAUCCUUAAAUUUUUUUUGGAAAUUUUUGUUGUUAUUUUUUGAAAAUUCAAUAAAUAUCAAUUAU